CAAUGCUGACGAGUCCCAAACAGGACGAAACAGUUGUCCAGUGC
rnacentral:hammerhead_ribozyme from 1 species